rnacentral:rRNA from 1 species
AUUGAACGCUGGCGGCAUGCCUUACACAUGCAAGUCGAACGGCGGCACGGGAGCAAUCCUGGUGGCGAGUGGCGAACGGGUGAGUAAAGUAUCGGAACGUGCCCAGUCGUGGGGGAUAACGUAGCGAAAGUUACGCUAAUACCGCAUACGAUCUAUGGAUGAAAGCGGGGGAUCGCAAGACCUCGCGCGAUUGGAGCGGCCGAUAUCAGAUUAGGUAGUUGGUGGGGUAAAGGCUCACCAAGCCGACGAUCUGUAGCUGGUCUGAGAGGAGGACCAGCCACACUGGGACUGAGACACGGCCCAGACUCCUACGGGAGGCAGCAGUGGGGAAUUUUGGACAAUGGGCGAAAGCCUGAUCCAGCCAUGCCGCGUGCAGGAUGAAGGCCUUCGGGUUGUAAACUGCUUUUGUACGGAACGAAAAGGUUUGGCCUAAUAAGCUGAGCUCAUGACGGUACCGUAAGAAUAAGCACCGGCUAACUACGUGCCAGCCGCCGCUGUAA